rnacentral:rRNA from 1 species
GUGGGGAAUUUUGGACAAUGGGCGCAAGCCUGAUCCAGCAAUGCCGCGUGCAGGAAGAAGGCCUUCGGGUUGUAAACUGCUUUUGUACGGAACGAAACGGUCCGGGUUAAUACCCUGGGCUAAUGACGGUACCGUAAGAAUAAGCACCGGCUAACUACGUGCCAGCAGCCGCGGUAAUACGUAGGGUGCAAGCGUUAAUCGGAAUUACUGGGCGUAAAGCGUGCGCAGGCGGUUUUGUAAGACAGGCGUGAAAUCCCCGGGCUCAACCUGGGAAUUGCGCUUGUGACUGCAAGGCUGGAGGGCGGCAGAGGGGGAUGGAAUUCCGCGUGUAGCAGUGAAAUGCGUAGAUAUGCGGAGGAACACCGAUGGCGAAGGCAAUCCCCUGGGCCUGCACUGACGCUCAUGCACGAAAGCGUGGGGAGCAAACAGGAUUAGAUACCCGAGUAGUCC